rnacentral:rRNA from 1 species
AGGGUUCGAUUCUGGCUCAGGAUGAACGCUGGCGGCACGCUUAACACAUGCAAGUCGAACGGAGCAGAAAGAGCUUGCUUUCCUGCUCAGUGGCGGACGGGUGCGUAACGCGUGGGUAAUCUGCCCUUGACAGGGGGAUAACGUAUAGAAAUGUACGCUAAUACCGCAUAAGCUCACGGAGUGGCAUCACUCUGGGGGAAAAGGGAUACCGGUCAAGGAUGAGCCCGCGUCUGAUUAGGUAGUUGGUGAGGUAACGGCCCACCAAGCCGACGAUCAGUAGCCGGUCUGAGAGGAUGGACGGCCACAUUGGGACUGAGACACGGCCCAAACUCCUACGGGAGGCAGCAGUGGGGAAUAUUGCACAAUGGGGGGAACCCUGAUGCAGCCGAUGCCGCGUGAAGGAAGAAGUAUUUCGGUAUGUAAACUUCUAUCAGCGAGGAAGAAGAUGACAGUACUCGAGUAAGAAGCCCCGGCUAACUACGUGCCAGCAGCCGC